rnacentral:rRNA from 1 species
AUGGCACUCCAUAAAUGCAAACAAGGGCAGGAAUGGAUCAAUUACAAUAAUAUCUACAAAACAUCCUUACUGAACAUCUCCAAAAUAUGCAUGAAUCUCUCUGUAGCAUCAAGUUUACAUGGCAACAAAAUAACAGCAGACAAGGACUUAAGAGAAAUUACUAAGUCCCUGAAAUCAGAAACAUUACGGGGCCUAGUUUGCAUGCUUGUGCUAGUCACCACAGAGAUCACAAAAAUACAUAACAGCAGACAACUAGCAAGCAAAGAUAGAAGUGAUUUCGAGGGUAUGGUCAUCUUGCCUGAUAUCCCGCAAGGAAGAAGAUCGAAUCCAUGA